rfam:Tupaia chinensis contig234059, whole genome shotgun sequence.
GUGCUCGCUGCGGCAGCACGUACGCGGAAAUUGGAAGGAUACAAAGACUAGCACGGCCCCAGCACGAGGAUGACAAAGAUUUGUGAAGGGCUCCCUGGCUUUUU